rnacentral:hammerhead_ribozyme from 1 species
AUCAGUCCUAAAUAGGACGAAACGCGCGUCCUGGAU